rnacentral:rRNA from 1 species
GGAAUUUUCCGCAAUGGGCGAAAGCCUGACGCAGCAAUGCCGCGUGAGUGAAGAAGGCCCUCGGGUCGUAAAGCUCUUUAUCUUCGGGAAGAUGAUGACGGUACCGAAGGAAGAAGCACCGGCUAACUACGUGCCAGCAGCCGCGGUAAUACGUAGGGUGCAAGCGUUGUUCGGAAUCACUGGGCGUAAAGGGCGUGUAGGCGGAACGAUUAGCGAGGGGUGAAAUCCCGGGGCUCAACCCCGGAACUGCUCUUCGAACUGUCGAUCUAGAGAAGGUCAGGGGCCGGCGGAAUUCCUGGUGUAGAGGUGAAAUUCGUAGAGAUCAGGAGGAACAUCGGAGGCGAAGGCGGCCGGCUGGGGCCAUUCUGACGCUGAGGCGCGAAAGCGUGGGGAGCAAACAGGAUUAGAUACCCCAGUAGUC